CCGAGAUAGACAGGAGCAGCCACAGGAAAAGUCCACCCUCAGUGCAGGAGACAAGGCAAUGAUAAACAUCAGGCAGAAACAAGAACUGAAGUAUGGCUCAGAGACAAAAAAAAGCAGGCCCAGGACACAGAAGGAUCCAGUUUCUUGUCCCCUGUUGGGCACUUCCGGAGAGAACCGUGACCGAUAGUCACAGUGCCUCUAAUGAUGUGCUCAUGAAAGGCAGAAUUAUUGAACCAUUUAAGACAACGUUUCAGCUUCUCGAGAAAGGCUUUGCAUAGCCAAAAUCCUGCCUGGGGUCUUAUCGAAUCUUGCGCCUGGUCUUUUCUUUAAAUUUUUGCUUUACUGAAGCUGAGCCACUCUGGACUGGCGACACUUGGGUUUUCCUAUUAUUUAAUGUGUGUCUUCUCAUGUUUAUAUAAUUGAUUGUGUGUUCUAUAGCUCUACUGACUAUUUAAAGGGUCACUCCAACAACCAUAAACACGUAUGCUCCUUGUUGACAUCACAGCAGGAAGCUAUAAUCCCUCCCCCAGCUGUACAAGAUUUUGUAUGACAUGUGCACGCC